CGAAAGCUAAUUCAGAUUCAAAAUCGAACCUUCUAGGUUUUCUCGUUUGUCUCCUCUCUCUAUCCCUAACUAAGUUGUAGUUAGCUAAAGGAUUUUUUUCCUCAUAGUGCUCUUCUAUCACUACUUCGUUACUAUUCUCCUCCUCAGGUUCCUGAACUUGAAUCUCCACCUCAUUAGGAGCAGUAGGGACAGGUGUACUGAGCUUUCCUAACUCCACCUUAAACGGGUCUCUCUCUUCACCUGGUUCAGUUUCACUCUCAGGUUCAGUUU
rnacentral:lncRNA from 1 species